ensembl:lncRNA novel transcript
AAAGGCCUCGGAGGGCCGCCCUCCGUCCAUGGGAGCUGUCCUGACCGCGGGCCGAGUCCUGCUGCCGGGAGAGCAGACCUGCUAGAUUUGCAAACUUCCGCAGGCCGUGCAAAGCGCAGCUGUAACCGCGUCUGCGGAGCAAGACGCCUGCGCUAGGAGCCCCUCCUGAGCGGUCCACAUUUCCCUGCAACAGCAGUCCCCACACCUCAGAACCGCGGUUAUUCCCUUUGGUCCCUUGGAGGCAUCUUCUGUGUCUGUGCUGAUCAGUGCUGCGGCGUCAGUGAAUGAAUGAGAGGGAGAAAGGAAAGAAGAGGAAGGCGUGACUGCAGAAAUUGCUUAAAUUUUGCCUUUUCCAGAAUGUCAUGAAAAUGGAAUCAGACCGUAUGUAGCCUUUUGAGGAUAGAGGAUCUCCCCCACCACCCCAACUCCAGUGAGCUUUCAGAUGAGAUUGUAGCCCCAGAUGACAAUAGGGAGUCUCGCUCUGUCACCCAGGCUGGAGUG